AGACCCUGUAAGCCACAAAGAAGAAUUGACUUUGGUUGAAGGAAGUGGCUGUGACCUAGAAACAAUAUCUAGUAUUAGCUAGAGACCUGGAAAUCUGGGUUCUUAUUCCUAGUUCUUCAUUUCUGUCACAUAUACUUAAUUGACAUUACAUUAGAAUAUUAACCUUUUCCUAUAUGGACCAUCUAUUUAAUAACAAAAGUUCUUAGUGAAGUAUUUAGUCUUGGUUUUUCUGCUUGUACAAUUUCUCUGCCCUCCCAACAAAGAUAGUAUGGGGUAGCACAUAAAGUAUUCCUUUUAACCUAAUUAGUAAUUUAUAUUAUUCUGUAUUGAGCACACCCUUACUCAUUAUUUGGCUUGUAAACAUUCACCUAAAUUAUGGCUACAAUAAUUUUUAAAUAGUCUGGAAAAAAGCUUCACAUUUUAAUCACUUUUGGCUCUUAAACAGCCCACAAAUGCCAUUAAUAGUUUAUUUUGUUUUAGAGUUAUUUAAUGUUAUUUUAUGCAAAAUAAUGUUUUGUUUUGUUUUGCUUUCCACAUGGAAAAAACAUUAGAACUGUGUAUAGUAAAAGAUUUUAUGAUGUAUCUAUCCAAACACUAUCCCAUGUUCAACAAGUCAUAUUUUACUUAAACUACUUGGAGAGAGUUUCUAAAGUAACUAUUAACUACAGCCAUUCAGUGGUUACUUUUAGUGUCUUUGUGAUAUGCGAUGUUACAGUGUUUAUAAAUUAUCUGUAUCUUAUAUUUUCAAAGGAACCUCAGAAGUCUCACACCCUGAAUCAAAGUCUGUCAAUGAAUAUGUGCUAAAAUUUGACCAGCUCAGCUUAAGACACAAAACAGCAACUUGAAGGAGAAAUCGAGAGUUUAAAUUAAUGGGUGAAAUUUUUGUUGUUGCAAUAGUAGGUUUAGUCUUAACUUUAUAACAUUUCUAAAUGAAAAGUCAUAUGUAUUUGUUACUGUGUCUGAUGAUUACUUUGUUAAAAGCAAAAGUGGUCAUGUGAUGUACCAAAUGUUAACUGCUGUUUUUAAAUGUUUAAAUCAUGCCAAACAAAUCAUGUCUGUGCCAUCCAGGGUUUAUUGUAAUCUUUUACUGAGUACUUGGAUUGGGAAAAAGGGCUUGUACUAUGCACUUUUUAUUAAUGAAUAAAUAGGAAACAUUAGUAACACU
rnacentral:lncRNA from 1 species